rnacentral:rRNA from 1 species
GACAAACGCUGGCGGCGUGCCUAAUACAUGCAAGUAGAACGCUGAAGGAGGAGCUUACUUCUCUGGAUGAGUUGCGAACGGGUGAGUAACGCGUAGGUAACCUGCCUGGUAGCGGGGGAUAACUAUUGGAAACGAUAGCUAAUACCGCAUAAGAGUAGAUGUUGCAUGACAUUUACUUAAAAGGUGCAAUUGCACCACUACCAGAUGGACCUGCGUUGUAUUAGCUAGUUGGUGGGGUAACGGCUUACCAAGGCGACGAUACAUAGCCGACCUGAGAGGGUGAUCGGCCACACUGGGACUGAGACACGGCCCAGACUCCUACGGGAGGCAGCAGUAGGGAAGCUUCGGCAAUGGACGGAAGUCUGACCGAGCAACGCCGCGUGAGUGAAGAAGGUUUUCGGAUCGUAAAGCUCUGUUGUAAGAGAAGAACGAGUGUGAGAGUGGAAAGUUCACACUGUGACGGUAUCUUACCAGAAAGGGACGGCUAACUACGUGCCAGCAGCCGCCGUAA